rnacentral:rRNA from 1 species
CAGCAGCCGCGGUAACACGGAGGGUGCAAGCGUUAAUCGGAAUUACUGGGCGUAAAGCGCACGCAGGCGGUCUGACAAGUCAGAUGUGAAAUCCCCGGGCUUAACCUGGGAACUGCAUUUGAAACUGUCAGGCUGGAGUCUUGUAGAGGGGGGUAGAAUUCCAGGUGUAGCGGUGAAAUGCGUAGAGAUCUGGAGGAAUACCGGUGGCGAAGGCGGCCCCCUGGACAAAGACUGACGCUCAGGUGCGAAAGCGUGGGGAGCAAACAGGAUUAGAUACCCCCGUAGUCCCGUCUCUUAUACC